ACUGCCCGCGUGAGGCGGUAACCAGUAACAACCGGCGUCCGGUAACCGUGGCCAUUUACCCAACAGAGGACACGACGUCAGGGAGAACAGGUUGGCAGCAAGGAACUGAGAACGUGCCUUUAACUGCAGCCUCAGACGUCAGUGUGCUCACGUACGGAUGCUGCAUGAUGGACACCGCUUUCUCUUUUUCAUUCUGGCAAAACACACAGAUUUGCUGACUGACCAUCUGUCAGGGCGCAGCUGGGAAGUGCUAAGUCCGUUCACGCCCUCGGGCAGCAGUUCAGCGAGCUUUCUUUUUGCGCAAUGGAAACUUUAUAUUCAUUUAAAAGUAACUUCCUAUGCCUCCUCACCCACAGUUACCCCUGGUUCUACUUCUGCUUCUAGGACUAGGACUACUUCAGCUACCUCCUGUAAACGACACCAUACGAUAUUUCUCUUUUCAUCACCGGCUUGUAUAACUCAGCACGUCCUCGAGGUUCAUCCAUGUUGUGGCCUAUAACAGAAUCCUCCUCUUUUUCAAGGCCGAGUAGUAUUCCCUGCAUGUGCUCACACAUCCUGUCCAGCCAUUCAUCUGUUCCCGGGGAGGCCCUGGGGUGGUUGCUUCCAUCUCUCGGCCACCAUCAUGACCAUGCCUCUGAAUGUGGGUGAGCUAGAACCUCCAAGACCCUGGUCUCAGUGAUUUUGGAAGCAUACUCAGAAGUGGGACUGCUAGCCACAUCAUGGGGGCUGAGCUGUUGAAGUUUGAGGAAAACAAUGAGCACGAAGCUCUCUGGCUCAUCUUGGUGCAGCUUCUGUGGCUGGAACCUCUUCCGGGAUCACGCCUGAAUGGCCCUGCCUGCAACGCCACUCGCUGACAGCCCUGGUACAAAGCAGUGCUGGACACCCUUGGCUUCUUUAACUCUGUCCACAACCCAGAGCGUUUUAGACCUCAUAAUGGUGGUGAGGUGCUUCGCGCUUUGUUUCUGUCAUCGGAGUUUAGAGAGAGGCAGAGAAGCCUGCUGGAGUCCCAUGUGGCAGGAAGGACAGUGUGCUGCUUCUGUCACCGUGCCUCCAACAACCACCACAGCCAGGUCGGGCACACACUGAGAAGACCAGGGCCCUGGGAGAGGCGCCCCACGCCAGACGCCCGGACAGCAGCCCGCCACACUCAUCUCUUUAGAUUUGACUGCAAGCCGUCCACACGUCAGCAGACCGUCCUGACGAGCACAGAGCCCACACCAGAAGAGAGAUGGUGGCUGGGAGAGCAGUGAGCCACACGAGUGGCGCUGGGGAUUCAGUGAAACCGGUCAGGGGUGGAGAGGGCCCCGAAUAGCAAGCUGAACCUGUCUGGCGCUUCUUGGCCCCUUCUGGUUUUGUUCAGCUGGAAAACGCCUUGGAAAAGUUUUUUUUGUUUUUUGUUUUUGGUGGUUUGUUUUCCAUUUGUUGGAAACCAGCAUGUGCUGGCGUGUGUGGCUUUUCCACUUAAAACGAAAAGUGCAGGUGAUAUUAGAAGUUGCCACAGGACACAGAGCUGCGAGAGGGUCCCCUUGAAUGACAAAGCUUUGCCUAUUAGUUUUUACAGGUUUUCAGCCUGUAAGUCCUGCGUGUCUCUGGGGAAUGACAUGUGGACUGGGAGUGUUCCUCCAACAGGGCACGUGGUAGUUUGGUCAGG